ensembl:lncRNA BCAR3-AS1 BCAR3 antisense RNA 1
UUCUUCCGGUUACUGACUCUGUGGCUGCUGCCUCCCACAACGCUGUGCUUGCAGACCCCAGGAGCGCUGGCUGUCCCUUCACUUCCUGAACAUGUGGAUGUGUGCUUUGGGUUCUUGACCUCAGCUCUUCCCAAGGUCUUCUUAGAGAAGGGUCUAAAUGAAGUCAUUUUUAGAGUAUUUGUUUUUGGUUACACAGGUGCUUCCGCCCAUGUGGCCUCGGAGUGGGACCCUGCGGGUCAUCAAUCUGUACAUUGCCUGAGAGCAGCCGUGUAUGCUCUGGAAGGGACAAGACCAGGUACCUGUCGGGGGAUGCGGCCGUGGUACCAGGCAUGGCUGCGCAGGUCCUCGCUGCUCAGGAGCAGCUCCUCCUCCAGCUCCUUCUUCAGUUUCUCGGGGGUCCUGUCCAUGAUGUGCCUCUCCUUGGAGAACUGCAACACAGAGUCAACCAUGAGCUCACCCUGCCCAGGCCACACCAGGCCAUGCCAGCUGGAGGUGACCGCCUGCUUCACUAAUCCAACCAGUUAUGCUACAGCCUGCAUUCAGGGAGAUGUGGCCACAGGACUCAGUUCUGACCAAGGAGCUGAGAUGUGAUGGCUGGAGACUCAACACCAUUCUGGACGGGCUGGCACUUGGGUUAAAAGAAACAAUGCAAGUGAAAUAUUAAUCGCUGAGUUCAGCAGCAAGAUUACACUCAGUAAUAGUAGUGCUUUCUUAACAUCUUUAAAGAAUGAAAAGAACAAAGACUGCCCUGGCUAAGGCAGACCCUAAUAAAAGAGUUUGAAAACCGGC